rnacentral:rRNA from 1 species
UGGGGAAUAUUGGACAAUGGGGGCAACCCUGACCCAGCCAUGCCGCGUGGGUGAUGAAGGCCUUAGGGUUGUAAAGCCCUUUCAGCGGGGAAGAUAAUGACGGUACCCGCAGAAGAAGCCCCGGCUAACUUCGUGCCAGCAGCCGCGGUAAUACGGAGGGGGCUAGCGUUGCUCGGAAUCACUGGGCGUAAAGCGCACGUAGGCGGAUUCUUAAGUCGGGGGUGAAAUCCUGGAGCUCAACUCCAGAACUACCUUCGAUACUGGGAAUCUUGAGUCCGGAAGAGGUGAGUGGAACUGCGAGUGUAGAGGUGAAAUUCGUAGAUAUUCGCAAGAACACCAGUGGCGAAGGCGGCUCACUGGUCCGGUACUGACGCUGAGGUGCGAAAGCGUGGGGAGCAAACAGG